GCCUGGGUGGCUUAAUUGGUUAAGUGCCUGACUUCAGCUCAGGUCAUGAUCUCAGGGUCCCUUGAGUUCAAAUCCUACCUGGGGCU
rnacentral:tRNA from 1 species